rnacentral:rRNA from 1 species
AGCGAACGCUGACGGCAGGCCUAACACAUGCAAGUCGAGCGGCCGUAGCAAUACGGCAGCGGCAGACGGGAGAGUAACACGUGGGAACGCGCCCUUCGGUUCGGGAUAACUCAGGGAAACUUGGGCUAAUACCGGAUACGCCCUUACGGGGAAAGAUUUAUUGCCGAAGGAACGGCCCGCGUCCGAUUAGCUUGUUGGUGAGGUAACGGCUCACCAAGGCGACGAUCGGUAGCUGGUCUGAGAGGAUGACCAGCCUCACUGGGACUGAGACACGGCCCAGACUCCUACGGGAGGCAGCAGUGGGGAAUAUUGGACAAUGGGCGCAAGCCUGAUCCAGCCAUGCCGCGUGGGUGAUGAAGGCCCUAGGGUUGUAAAGCCCUUUCAGCGGGGAAGAUAAUGACGGUACCCGCAGAAGAAGCCCCGGCUAACUUCGUGCCAGCCGCCGCCGUAAAAC